UACGUAGGGGGCUAGCGUUGUCCGGAAUCAUUGGGCGUAAAGAGCGUGUAGGCGGCCAGGUAGGUCGGUUGUGAAAACUGGAGGCUCAACCUUCAGAGGUCGACCGAAACCAUCUGGCUAGAGUCCGGGAGAGGAGACUGGAAUUCCUGGUGUAGCGGUGAAAUGCGCAGAUAUCAAGAAGAACACCCGUGGCGAAAGCGGCUCUCUGGAACGGUACUGACGCUGAGACGCGAAAGCGUGGGGAGCGAACAGG
rnacentral:rRNA from 1 species